rnacentral:misc_RNA from 1 species
GGUGAAGAACGUAGCGAAAUGCGAUAAGUAAUGUGAAUUGCAGAAUUCAGUGAAUCAUCGAAUCUUUGAACGCACAUUGCGCCCGUCAGUAUUCUGGCGGGCAUGCCUGUUCGAGCGUCAUUACGCCCCUCACGUCCCCUGUGGACUUGGUGUUGGGGAUCGGCGAGGCUGGUUUUCCAGCACAGCCGUCCCUUAAAUUAAUUGGCGGUCUCGCCGUGGCCCUCCUCUGCGCAGCAGUAAAACACUCGCAACAGGAGCCCGGCGCGGUCCACUGCCGUAAAACCCCCCAACUUUUUAUAGUUGACCUCGAAUCAGGUAGGACUACCCGCUGAACUUAAGCAUAUCAAUAAGCGGAGGA